rnacentral:rRNA from 1 species
AACGAACGCUGGCGGCAGGCUUAACACAUGCAAGUCGAGCGGGCCCUUCGGGGUCAGCGGCAGACGGGUGAGUAACACGUGGGAACGUACCUUUUGGUUCGGAACAACUCCGGGAAACUGGAGCUAAUACCGGAUAAGCCCUUAGGGGGAAAGAUUUAUCGCCAAAGGAUCGGCCCGCGUCUGAUUAGCUAGUUGGUGGGGUAACGGCCCACCAAGGCGACGAUCAGUAGCUGGUCUGAGAGGAUGAUCAGCCACACUGGGAUUGAGACACGGCCCAGACUCCUACGGGAGGCAGCAGUGGGGAAUAUUGGACAAUGGGCGCAAGCCUGAUCCAGCCAUGCCGCGUGAGUGAUGAAGGCCUUAGGGUUGUAAAGCUCUUUUGUCCGGGAAGAUAAUGACUGUACCGGAAGAAUAAGCCCCGGCUAACUUCGUG